GGAUUGUGGCUCAGCGGGAGAGCGCUUGUCUUGCACCUGUCAGGCCCUGGGUUCGAUCCUCAGCACCA
rnacentral:tRNA from 1 species